UACAGAGGUCUCAAGCGUUGUUCGGAUUCAUUGGGCGUAAAGGGUGUGUAGGUGGCGCCGUAAGUCGGGUGUGAAAUUUCGGAGCUUAACUCCGAAACUGCAUUCGAUACUGCGGUGCUUGAGGACUGGAGAGGAGACUGGAAUUCAUGGUGUAGCAGUGAAAUGCGUAGAGAUCAUUAGGAAGACCAGUGGCGAAGGCGGGUCUCUGGACAGUUCCUGACACUGAGACACGAAGGCCAGGGGAGCAAACGGG
rnacentral:rRNA from 1 species